rnacentral:SRP_RNA from 1 species
GCUGGGCAUGGUGGCCAAUGCCUGUAAUCCCAGCUACUUGGAAAGCUGAGGUGGGAGAAUCACUUGAGCCCAGGAGGUUGAGGCUGCAGUGAGCUGAGUUUGUGCCACUGCACUCCAGCCUGGGCAACAGAGUGAGACCCUGUCUAAA